rnacentral:rRNA from 1 species
UCUUAGUGGCGGACGGGUGAGUAACGCGUGGGUAACCUGCCCCAUACCGGGGGAUACCACCUGGAAACAGGUGCUAAUACCCGCAUAAGCGCACGGGAGCGCAUGCUCCUGUGUGAAAAACUCCGGUGGUAUGGGAUGGACCCGCGUCUGAUUAGCCAGUUGGCAGGGUAACGGCCUACCAAAGCGACGAUCAGUAGCCGGCCUGAGAGGGUGGACGGCCACAUUGGGACUGAGACACGGCCCAAACUCCUACGGAAGGCAGCAG